AAGGAGGCCAUGUUCCAUGGCUGAGAAUCAAUGUGACAUUACGUUUGACUCACUUAUAAAAGACCAAUGUUGAGGUACCCACAAUGCUGAAUUUCCUUUGGCGUAUGGAAUUAAUACCUUUGCAUUGUAGCAUGGGCUUCAACUACAUACAGGAUCAGAAAUUCAGAUUUCUCACAGUGCAUGCCUCGGGUAGAGGGAUGGCUUGUACUAUUGGCUGAGACAGAAAAAAUGGACAGUGAGAAUGGUACAGAUGAUGCAGCUAGAUAGUUUAUAUAUGCACCAUAUAUAUAUUUUUGCUUAUCCUCAAGGAAAGGCUUUUUUCUUUGGAAUUAAGGGGAAGCUUUUUAAUUUACAAGGACAUAUAUGCCCUUGUCAAGAAGAGGCAGUUUGUAUGGUUUGGGUCCAUUUCCACCUAAACUGUAACAGAAAUUUAACUUUCAUACGAACUAUAAAGAUGUAAAGAUGCACUCAAUUUCCAUGAUCAGCCAAAAAUGGAAGGCCCCCUUAUCUAACUUGGUUCUCAUUCACAAGGUCCCUUAUACAGAUACCCAGUUGUAAAAUAAACUCCUUUAGGAAAAUAAAACGACUUUAGAUAUACUAAA